rnacentral:rRNA from 1 species
UACGAAGGGGGCUAGCGUUGUUCGGAAUCACUGGGCGUAAAGGGCGCGUAGGCGGCCAUUCAAGUGACGGGUGAAAGCCCUCGGCUUAACCGAGGAACUGCCUGUCAGACUGGAUGGCUCGAGACCGGGAGAGGUGAGUGGAAUUCCCAGUGUAGCGGUGAAAUGCGUAGAUAUUGGGAGGAACACCAGUGGCGAAGGCGGCUCACUGGACCGGAACUGACGCUGAGGCGCGAAAGCGUGGGGAGCAAACAGG